AUUAUUUCCAUUUAAUUAGCUUUCACAUUCAUUACUCGCCAUUUUGUAGUCUUAAUAAAUAUACAGUCUUAUGUGAGUCGGUCGUGAAUUGGGUUUUGUUAAAAAAAAUUAUAAAUGAUGUACAUUUGCUGUUGAUUAUGAUUAAAUAAAAUUAUUUUUUAAAUAUUUAACAUUUAUUGUCGGACAUAAAAUUAAAAUUAAGAAAUAGGAGAAAAAUAAAUUUAAAUUAACAACUCGAUUUUGUUGCCUCAAAAUAACAAUGAUGGAGAUCGAGGUGCCAGAAUUUACAUCCAAGGAUGAUGAGAUUCAAUAUUGGAUGGAUUUGGCUCAACAAAUGUUCCAAAGGAAACAAGACGUGGAGCAAGAGUUAGCAGAAUUUGAGGAAAAUUCAAAGAUGCUGGAGAAAGAGUUGGAAACAGCGUUGGAGCAAGCUGAGAACACAAAUCGUGAAUUGAGGCAACGGAAUUCACGAUUAGCUACUGAAGUUGAACAGUUGAGAACACGAUUGGAUCAACAAGCAGUAGAUUGUUCGGUUUUCCAAACACGAGCCACUGAAUUGGAGAGCCAACAUGAGCAGCUUGUCAAAUAUAUUAGAGAGUUGGAGCAAAAAAACGAUGAUCUAGAACGAGCCCAUCGAAUAAAUCAAGCGUCUGAAGAAGCCAUAGAAGCUAAAUUCAAUUCAGCAAUUGAAAAAAAUGCUCUAUUGGAAUCAGAACUUGAUGAAAAGGAAAAUCUCAAAGUUUUAGUUCAAAGACUGAUGGAUGAGAAUAGAGAUCUUAAACAAGAGAUUAAACAUGUCAAAAGACACCUUCCGGAUAAUGACAAAUCAGCAGCAGAUAAAGUCCGUGCUUUAAUGGACAGUAAUAAACUACAAGUUGAACUUGAGACUAAUAACACUCCUGUAAUCUCUCCACUCUCGCAGCAAAAUAUACCGACAACUCAUUCGACAACAGCACCGUUUAAACUUGCAAACGGUGUUGGCAAUGUUAUCAACAACAACAACAAUAUUAAUAACAACAACAACAAUAAUAGUAUGAACAUACCAAUGGCUCCAUCAUCGAGAAUACAAGCGAUGAAUUUAAUUGGCGACUUAAUGAGACGAGUUGGGCUCGACAGGUGGGUCUGCAUGGAUUGUAGGAGAUUGAAGUGCUCAUGUCCUAAUGCACUUGAGAAAAAGAACGAUAUUACACGUCAACAGAGUCCAGUGUCUAUCCAGCAUCCAAAGCUAACCAAAUGCUGACAUUGUUCUUCCUCUCGUUGUCUUGCACUACGACAUCUUUAUUUUUACACCAGGCUAUGGAGAAUAAAUUGAACUCAUGCAGAAACGCGUCACGAGAGGAUCAAGCCAUGAGAGAUUUGUACAGGACGACAACGAUAAGACGACAGGUG
rnacentral:misc_RNA from 1 species